rnacentral:lncRNA from 1 species
CUUACUUCUUUCUGCACGUGAGGCUAGAUCUGCUCUAUCCGGUACCGAUGGCGCUAAAGCAAAAAGCAAGUUGUAAUUAACUUGUAAAUAAACGAUUAUAACAGUCAUUGAAGCCUGUCAUAACAUUCAUCUACAUCCAACAAGAGUCAAAGGACAGAGGGAUACACUAGCUUGAACCUUCUCAUCGCGGAUCUGGGCCUCCAGUGUGGCCAGCUGGGAUAUGUCGAAGCCCUCCAGGAGGCGAGUGUGGCCCCUGGGCCCACUCUGGCUGUCUGGUCUUGGUCUGCUGAGGCAGGGGCGCCACCUUGGGCCGCAGGAUGCACCUGGCAUACUCCAGGGCCUGAAACACAAUGGAAAUAAAGUCUCUGGGCUGAUGCGCGUCGCUGGGGAGCUCCGGACUGGAGGGCCGACUCUGGGGAGCUCCGGACUGGAGGUCCGACUCUGGGGAGCUCCGGACUGGAGGUCCGACUCUAGAUGGGGCACUGUCGCCGGAAGCUCUGGA